UCGACCUCAGAUCAGGUGGGACUCCCCGCCGAAUUUAAGCAUAUUAGUAAGCGGAGGAAAAGAAACUAACAAGGAUUCCCUUAGUAGCUGCGAGCGAACAGGGAGGAGCCCAGCACUGAAUCCCGGAGGCCGAGCUUCCAGGGAAAUGUAGUGUUUAGGAGUGCCCGAUCGACCCGGGGCCCGUGCACCGCGUUCAAGUCCAUCUUGAACGGGGCCACGGUCCGUAGAGGGUGCCAGGCCCGUAGAUGACCGGUGCCGGCCCCGGGUGGGUCCCUCCUUAGAGUCGGGCUGCUUGAGAGUGCAGCCCUAAGCGGGUGGUAAACUCCAUCUAAGGCUAAAUAUAACCACGAGACCGAUAGAGAACAAGUACCGUGAGGGAAAGUUGAAAAGAACUUUGAAGAGAGAGUUCAAGAGUACGUGAAACCGCUCAGGGGUAAACGGAAAAGACCCGAAGCCCCGAAACGGGAGAUUCACGUCUUCUCGCCAGGGUCCGCGCCCCGUUGUGGGGGAUGGCCUUUCGCCCCGUCCGGCUCGUCCGUGGCGGUGGGUGGGCCGCCCCCCUCGGGGUCGCGUUCCCGCGGGGGACCGCACUUCUCCCAUAGUAGGACGUCGCGACCCGCUCAGCGGCGGUCAAAGGGCCGGAAGGAUGCCCGUCGAGGCGCCCCUCGGGGCUUCUCGGCGGACCUCCGGUUCCGCGGCCGUCGGUCCGGGCGGUAUCGAAAGACUCCGGCGCUGGGCCGCUCACAGCGAGCGCCGCGUCUCCCCUCGCGACCCGGCGUCCGCCGGGGGGUGCCUCGUCGGGCACGCCUCGGUCGGGCGCUGCGGCCAGCCGCGGGGAGGUCUCCGGCACGGCCCAGCACGCCAGUCUGCGGCGCUUCAGAUUCGGGAACUUAUCCGACCCGUCUUGAAACACGGACCAAGGAGUCUAGCGUGUGCGCGAGUCAUUGGGUGAAAAACCUAAAGGCGCAAUGAAAGUGUCAGAGCGGGCCUCCCACGGGAGCGCCCGCCGUUGGGAGGAUGGGCUGUCCGGCGAUCAUUCGUCGGCGCCCCGCACUCCCGGGGCGUCUCGUUCUCUUCUAGAGUGGAGACGCACCAGGAGCGCACACGCUGGUACCCGAAAGAUGGUGAACUAUGCCUGGCCAGGACGAAGCCAGGGGAAACCCUGGUGGAGGUCCGAAGCGAUUCUGACGUGCAAAUCGAUCGUCUGAGCUGGGUAUAGGGGCGAAAGACCAAUCGAACCAUCUAGUAGCUGGUUCCCUCUGAAGUUUCCCUCAGGAUAGCUGGCUCUCGGGCUGAGACGAGUCUCAUCCGGUAGAGCGAAUGAUUAGAGGUGAUGGGGUCGAAACGACUUCAACCUAUUCUCAAACUCCCAAUAGAUGAGAGCCCCGGCUUGCUUGAAAGUGAAGCCGCGGGAUUCGGAUCAGAGACGCCAAGUGGGCCAAUUUUGGUAAGCAGAACUGGCGCUGUGGGAUGAACCAAACGCAGAGUUAAGGCGCCUGAUUCGACGCUCAUAUGAAACCAUGAAAGGCGUUGGUUGCUUAAGACAGCAGGACGGUGGCCAUGGAAGUCGGAAUCCGCUAAGGAGUGUGUAACAACUCACCUGCCGAAGCAACUAGCCCUGAAAAUGGAUGGCGCUGUAGCGUCGUGCCUAUACUCUGCCGUCGACGGCAAAGCGGGCCGCCCUUCACGGGGCGUCGCCGUUACGCCUCGACGAGUAAGAGGGUCGCGGCGGUGUGCGCGGAAGGGUCCGGGCGCGAGCCCGCCUGGAGCCGCCGCCGGUGCAGAUCUUGGUGGUAGUAGCAAAUACUCCAGCGAGGCCCUGGAGGACUGAUGUGGAGAAGGGUUUCUUGUGAACAGCUGUUGCACAAGAGUCAGUCGAUCCUAAGCCCUAGGAGAAAUCCGAAGGGAACGGUUGCCGUUAAAGCGAUGAUAAUUUCGGACGCGCUCGAGUCGGCGGCGACGGCUAACCCCCGUCGCCCCGCUCGUCGCUCCUUGAGAUCACUCAAAGCUGGCACCGUACGGGCGAAAGGGAAUCCGGUUCCUAUUCCGGAACCCGGCAGCGGAACCGCUCCAAUUCGGGCCCUCAUCCGAGGACUCGUCGGGGUGACCCGAAAUGACCCGGAGAAGCCGUAGGGAGGUCCGGGGAGAGUUGUCUCUUCUCUAUAAGCGUUCGAGUUCCCUGGAAGCCUCUAGGAGGGAGAUAGGGUUUGGAACGCGAAGAGCACCGCACUUACGGCGGUGUCCGGAUCUUCCCCUCGGACCUUGAAAAUCCGGGCGAGGGCCACGGGGAACACCGCGCCGGCUCGUACCCAUAUCCGCAGCAGGUCUCCAAGGUGAAUAGCCUCUAGUCGAUAGAAUAAUGUAGGUAAGGGAAGUCGGCAAACCCGAUCUGUAACUUCGGGAUAAGGAUUGGCUCUGAGGAUCGUGGCGCGCCGGGCUUGGUCGGGAAGUGGAGCGGUGCCAACGUGCCGGGCCUGGGCGAGGCGAAGGGCGGUCUUCC
rnacentral:rRNA from 1 species